CUACGGGUCGCUGCAGUGAGGAAUAUUGCGCAAUGGGCGAAAGCCUGACGCAGCGACGCCGCGUGGGGGAAGAAGGUUCUCGGAUUGUAAACCCCUUUUAGGAGGAAAGAUGGGGUGGGUAACCACCUUGACGGUACCUCCAGAAAAAGCCACGGCUAACUUCGUGCCAGCAGCCGCGGUAAUACGAAGGUGGCGAGCGUUGUUCGGAUUUACUGGGCGUAAAGAGCGCGUAGGCGGUUUAGUAAGCCCCUUGUGAAAUCUCCAGGCUUAACCUGGAAGGGUCGGGGGGGACUGCUAGGCUAGAGGGCGGGAGAGGAGCGCGGAAUUCCCGGUGUAGCGGUGACAUGCGUAGAUAUCGGGAGGAAGGCCGGUGGCGAAGGCGGCGCUCUGGAACGUCUCUGACGCUGAGGUGCGAAAGCGUGGGGAGCAAACAGGAUUAGAUACCCCAGUAGUC
rnacentral:rRNA from 1 species